rnacentral:lncRNA from 1 species
CUCCACGCCACGCUGCCGCGCCGCAGUUCUCCGCAGCGGUUAUCGAUAGCCCGACAAAGAGGACAUAAAUAAACGCCUUUUGCGCCCGUGUACGUAGUGUAUGCUCAUAUCGGUACGGACGCAUAUACCCUCCACCGUUAUUCGCGCAUCGGACGGAUGAUUCUUAGCGAAGCGGCGAUCCAUUAUCGGCGCUGGCGUGCACCGCCCUCUUAGCUAGUAGAUCUCGCCAUUAAAUCGAGGAAGCGGAGCGACCCACCAGCCAUCGCGAUAAUUAUCGUUGUUUAUAACUUCAUUGCAGAUAAGCCUGACCGGAUGCUGGUCGAGCUAUCCACCCUCAGUCUGUCGGUGAGGCCGGCGGCAACAGCACUUAAGCGCUUUUACCAGAAAUCAUGUCGCACGGAAAUAUCGCGCGCGACUUAACGCGACACUUUAUGUGUCCGCCCAUACGUAUAACGCACGGAUACGUACCGCGCGUGAAUAGGAUGACAAACUUAACCUCCGAGCAAAGGAGUAGGAUAGAACGGCAGAAGCUGCCACAUCGGUGGAAAAGUCCGAGAGGGUGGCGGAGCGACGCCAAGGACGAGGAGAGGGGAGAUGGAUAUACGGAGCUGCCGAACGAGGCGACAGCUGUCGAUUUCGUGCAGCCCUUGUGCAGAAUGCGCCAGUGGAGUUGCAACCGACUACCCAUAAAUAACGUGCUCGUUUCUGGAGCGCGCGCGAGAAGGAGAAGAAAAAAAAGAGCCGAAGCGCGAGAAGUGGAAGGAUGGCGACGGUGGUGGUAGUAGUGGUGGUGAUGGUGGUGGUGAUGGUGACGACGGUGAUGGUGGUGGUGGUGGCGGUGGUAGCGGUGGCGGUGACGGUGGCGGCGGUGGCGGUAGCAGCAGCGAAACGGAGAGAAACGUCAGCGACGUCACGCGAACGUCGUCGACCGAGUCGUCGCAUCGCCCCGCGUUCCCGGAUUCCAAACGUGUUCGUGCUCGUCGACGACGUGGCGGGAUUAGUUCAUUACCCGUGCGUUAUACUAAUCGUGUUUACGCUUCGCCUGAUCGAUGUGCGGUGAGCGGAGGGUGAUUAUCCGUCGCCGAGUAGCUCGCUACGAUGAGGCACGGUGACGCGUGAGGAAUCACAGACUGGUAAAGUCAGUCCUGAACAAUAGCGCGUGCACGUAGCGCACCGCGUUAUUGGACUUGAGCUGAUGACGUUAAUUCGAGAGACAUCGCGAGAGAAAAACCACGGAUAAAAAUAAAAUGAACAGAUUGGAGACAAAGCGCGAGAGAGCGCGCCGCAAAACAUAAUCAGUCGGUGUUGGAGAAGCAGUUUAACGCAAUCAUCCGUAAUUUUUCAAACGCUGCGAUAAGUGUUACUCCUGGGCGUAAUUAGCGUGAUUAAUUGCGAGAUGAUGGAAAAUAAUGGAAACUUUCCGCUAGGAUAGCUUCAGAAACCCAGCGCACACCCAUUAAGAAGUCAAAGGAAGUAGAACUGCGUGAUGAAAACCUAUAAAUCGCUCAUGUAAUUGCGCGCAACGCGCUGCAGUCUAUUAUUACUGAAGGCUGAUAACGAUAAUGUCCGCACAAACUGUAUAGACCGUCUUAACAAUGGUUUUUGAGUACGAACAUCGUACAGAUUCUGUUUAUAUUUCGUAUGAAAAAGAUAGUGCAUAAUGGUACAGAUAAUGUGGAACAAUAAAUGUAAUUCUUGCAAAAUAUAUUUCAUUGAAAAAAAUAAGUCUUUACACACUAUUGUAAACGGCUUACGUAGAUCUAUUCAAAAUAUUCUAGAAAACUAAUUUAGAAAUGUUAUUAUUAUUUUGUAGAUAACAUUUUGUAUUUGCAACUUACACUUUUGCUUGUUGUGUGCGUUAUAAUGCUUAUUCAAAAGAAGGAAAUAUACAUAUAUUAUAGCUAUUGAUGCUUUAUUAUCACAAGUAGCCUGACAAUCUCUGAUCUGUACACGUAUAUCACGUUUCAUGAUUUGUUGUGGUUCAUAAUGUAAUGUCGGUGUUUCAUAGUCAAUAUCCACGUUAAUCAUUUAUCAUUCUAUCGCAACUACGGUAAAUAUUUGCUCAUUGUACGUCAGAUUGACGUAAUGUUCAUAGAAUCACAUAAAUUGUGGCAUAUAAUAUGCGCAAGUGACUUAAAUUAAAAAAUUUUCUUUUGUAUGUUAGCUAAUUAUACACUUAUUAUAGUAUGCAAACAAAUACAUUUAUCACCGCACAAA